GCAUUGGUGUUCAGUGGUAGAAUUCUCGCCUGCCACGCGGGAGCCCGGGUUCGAUUCCCGGCCAAUGCA
rnacentral:tRNA from 1 species